UACGGAGGGUGCAAGCGUUGUCCGGAAUCACUGGGCGUAAAGGGCGCGUAGGCGGCUCAUGAAGGCUGUGGUGAAAGUCCGGGGCUCAACCUCGGAUCGGCCGUGGCGACUCGUGGGCUGGAGCACUGUAGAGGCGGGUGGAAUUCCAGGUGUAGCGGUGAAAUGCGUAGAGAUCUGGAGGAAUACCGGUGGCGAAGGCGGCCCCCUGGACAAAGACUGACGCUCAGGUGCGAAAGCGUGGGGAGCAAACAGG
rnacentral:rRNA from 1 species